UACAGAGGGUGCAAGCGUUGUUCGGAAUUAUUGGGCGUAAAGGGAGUGUAGGCGGUUUCCUAAGUCUUCUGUGAAAUCUACGGGCUUAGCCUGUAACGUGCAGAGGAAACUGGGAGACUUGAGUGUCGGAGAGGAUAGGGGAAUACCCGGUGUAGAGGUGAAAUUCGUAGAUAUUCGGAAGAACACCAGUGGCGAAGGCGACAUACUGGGUCAUGACUGACGCUGAGGCUCGAAAGCGUGGGGAGCAAACGG
rnacentral:rRNA from 1 species